UAUAUUUCAUUAAAUGUUAUUACUCUUGAUCUGUGCUUGUUAGUUUUGGGGAACUAGACUUGUGUAAUUUGAAGUUAAAGAUUUUAGGUAUUUUGGUAAGCUGGUAAGUUGGUUAUUGUAUGUUUUGUGUAGCUUAGAGUUAGGAUUUAAGUCUUAAAGGGUACAAUGGAGUAAUACUAACUACUUACAUAGUUAAACCCACAACGUUGCUAUUACAUUUUGCAAAUGCAUGGUCUUUCAUAGAUCCAUUUGUGUUAAGAGAUAUGUACUGUCAGUUUGUAUCAGAAAAGGAAAGAAAGCCAAAGCUCAAACUUUGAAAGUAAUCUUUGUGGUCUUGGUUAUAUAUGUUUCAUUGUUUAUUCUAGACCUAUCUCCUGGAAAUUUUGUUGCAUAAAUUAUAGAAUGGCUCAUUUAAGCUCUCAAAAUCAGGACCAACUAAUUUCGUUGAUCCUUAUUUGGCUUGUUUCCAUGUUCAAGUAGGUGGAUCACCUCAAUAUAAGGUGGAUAGAAAGUUGGGUAAAGGUGGAUUUGGUCAGGUAUUUAUAGGUCGUCGUGGUUGUGUUUAUGGUGGAACUGACUGCAUAUCAGCUAUCCUGGUGCCAUGGAGCUAGCUCUAAAGUUUGAGCACAGAAACCACAAAGGCUGCAGUUAUGGUUCUCCUUAUGAGUAGCAAGUUUACAAUACUCUGGGUGGCAGUCACGGAGUGCCUAAAGUUCACUAUAUAGGAAAGCAAGGAGACUACUUUGACAUGGUAUGAAAAAAAGUGUUUUUUUUCAUAUAGAAAAAUAAAUGUUUCAACACAGUAUUAAUCAUUUUGUUUCGUAUUUUUUCUUGCACGCUAAUAUCAUGAUGUCUAAUACUUUUGUAUGUCGUUGGUCAUUAAUUAAUGGCUACAACGACUAGAGAUCGAUGCAAACGUUGAUGAGUAAUUCAAUAUGUUUGAGUGGCCCACUUAGCUAGGAGAUCGAUACAAACCUUCGAGAAGCACACAUAAACAAACCUGGUGGCAGAUUUGGCGAAUCUCUGACUUUGAGAAAUCUAAUUAAAGGCCAAAGAACUUAGCUAGAACAAUCAGAGGCAUGUCAGAGUGCUUGUUUUCAUGGUCCUAGAGGACUAGCUGAUUGUAACGGUGCAUCAUCAGAGAUUUCACAUACCUCAGAUGCGUCUCAAAUUGACAUGGUCUGCACGCUGCCUGUGUUGCGGACAGUCGAAUACAUCAGAUGGGACGCUCAACCGGUCUACAAAAUGACAAAAACAUGUCAGUUUUGUAACUCCAACAGCUGAUCAAGAUUUAUCAUCAGUCAUCCUCAAGGAAAGGAUACGGUGGUAUACAUGCCCUAUGAUGCAGAGUUAUGAUUGGAUCUGGCCGAAAACAUUCCCCAUUUGGCUGUAGUGUCUCAUAGUCAGUCGCAAAACCACAUGUGCAGUUCAUAGGUUCUUGAAUGAUUGGAUUUGGGAAAGAGAGUUUAGCCACACACCAAAGUGCAGACUCUGGCUCACUAUGAGGCGGUGGUGGUUUGGUUGGUGGCGGGUAUAAAAUCGGUGGCUCAAAUAGAGGUGGUGCAGGUAUGAACCUUGUAGGUGAAGGAUAUGAAGAUGUUGGUAGGCAUGGUUCAUUAUCAUAAGGAGGGCUUAGACCAGGGCUCGGCUCAUAGUUUUAUGGAGGGGUUAGACCGGGGCUCAGCUCAUAGUUUUAUGUAGGGGUCAGACCAGGGCCCGGUUCAUAGUUUUAAGGUGGUCUCACGUAACACCCCGUGUUUUCGAAUGUCAAAGUCAAAGUCCAAGUCAACUUUGACUUUCUUUGACUAUAAUUAGUCUAUU